rnacentral:rRNA from 1 species
AACGAACGCUGGCGGCAUGCCUAACACAUGCAAGUCGAACGAGACCUUCGGGUCUAGUGGCGCACGGGUGCGUAACGCGUGGGAACCUGCCCUUAGGUUCGGAAUCACUCCCCGAAAGGGGUGCUAAUACCGGAUAAUGUCUUCGGACCAAAGAUUUAUCGCCUUUGGAUGGGCCCGCGUUGGAUUAGCUAGUUGGUAGGGUAAAAGCCUACCAAGGCGACGAUCCAUAGCUGGUCUGAGAGGAUGAUCAGCCACACUGGGACUGAGACACGGCCCAGACGCCUACGGGAGGGAGGAGUGGGGAAUAUUGGACAAUGGGCGAAAACCUGAUCCAGCAAUGCCGCGUGAGUGAUGAAGGCCUUAGGGUUGUAAAGCUCUUUUACCCGGGGUGAUAAUGACAGUACCGGGAGAAUAAGCUCCGGCUAACUCCGUG